rnacentral:rRNA from 1 species
GACGAACGCUGGCGGCGUGCUUAACACAUGCAAGUCGAACGGAAAGGCCCUGCUCUUGUGGGGUGCUCGAGUGGCGAACGGGUGAGUAACACGUGAGUAACCUGCCCUUGACUUUGGGAUAACUUCAGGAAACUGGGGCUAAUACCGGAAAGGAGCUCCUGCUGCAUGGUGGGGGUUGGAAAGUUUCGGCGGUUGGGGAUGGACUCGCGGCUUAUCAGCUUGUUGGUGGGGUAGUGGCUUACCAAGGCUUUGACGGGUAGCCGGCCUGAGAGGGUGACCGGCCACAUUGGGACUGAGAUACGGCCCAGACUCCUACGGGAGGCAGCAGUGGGGAAUAUUGCACAAUGGGCGGAAGCCUGAUGCAGCAACGCCGCGUGCGGGAUGACGGCCUUCGGGUUGUAAACCGCUUUCGCCUGUGACGAAGCGUGAGUGACGGUAAUGGGUAAAGAAGCACCGGCUAACUACGUG